rnacentral:rRNA from 1 species
UACGAAGGGGGCUAGCGUUGCUCGGAAUUACUGGGCGUAAAGGGAGCGUAGGCGGAUAGUUCAGUCAGAGGUGAAAGCCCAGGGCUCAACCUUGGAAUUGCCUUUGAUACUGGCUGUCUUGAGUAUGGGAGAGGUUAGCGGAACUCCGAGUGUAGAGGUGAAAUUCGUAGAUAUUCGGAAGAACACCAGUGGCGAAGGCGGCUAACUGGCCCAUUACUGACGCUGAGGCUCGAAAGCGUGGGAG